rnacentral:rRNA from 1 species
GACGAACGCUGGCGGCGUGCUUAGCACAUGCAAGUCGAACGGAAAGGCCCUGCUUUUGUGGGGUGCUCGAGUGGCGAACGGGUGAGUAACACGUGAGUAACCUGCCCUUGACUUUGGGAUAACUUCAGGAAACUGGGGCUAAUACCGGAUAGGAGCUCCUGCUGCAUGGUGGGGGUUGGAAAGUUUCGGCGGUUGGGGAUGGACUCGCGGCUUAUCAGCUUGUUGGUGGGGUAGUGGCUUACCAAGGCUUUGACGGGUAGCCGGCCUGAGAGGGUGACCGGCCACAUGGGGACUGAGAUACGGCCCAGACUCCGACGGGAGGCAGCAGUGGGGAAUAUUGCACAAGGGGCGGAAGCCUGAUGCAGAAACGCCGCGUGCGGGAUGACGGCCUUCGGGUUGUAAACCGCUUUCGCCUGUGACGAAGCGUGAGUGACGGUAAUGGGUAAAGGAGCACCGGCUAACUACGU